rnacentral:rRNA from 1 species
CAGCAGUGGGGAAUAUUGCACAAUGGGCGAAAGCCUGAUGCAGCGACGCCGCGUGAGGGAUGACGGCCUUCGGGUUGUAAACCUCUUUCAGCAGGGACGAAGCGCAAGUGACGGUACCUGCAGAAGAAGCACCGGCUAACUACGUGCCAGCAGCCGCGGUAAUACGUAGGGUGCAAGCGUUGUCCGGAAUUACUGGGCGUAAAGAGUUCGUAGGCGGUUUGUCGCGUCGUUUGUGAAAACCAGCAGCUCAACUGCUGGCUUGCAGGCGAUACGGGCAGACUUGAGUACUGCAGGGGAGACUGGAAUUCCUGGUGUAGCGGUGAAAUGCGCAGAUAUCAGGAGGAACACCGGUGGCGAAGGCGGGUCUCUGGGCAGUAACUGACGCUGAGGAACGAAAGCGUGGGUAGCGAACAGGAUUAGAUACCCUGGUAGUCCACGCCGUAAACGGUGGGCGCUAGGUGUGGG